AAGGGCUCGCAGGCGGUUUCUUAAGUCUGAUGUGAAAGCCCCCGGCUCAACCGGGGAGGGUCAUUGGAAACUGGGGAACUUGAGUGCAGAAGAGGAGAGUGGAAUUCCACGUGUAGCGGUGAAAUGCGUAGAGAUGUGGAGGAACACCAGUGGCGAAGGCGACUCUCUGGUCUGUAACUGACGCUGAGGAGCGAAAGCGUGGGGAGCGAACAGGAUUAGAUACCCUGGUAGUCCACGCCGUAAACGAUGAGUGCUAAGUGUUAGGGGGUUUCCGCCCCUUAG
rnacentral:rRNA from 1 species